CCAGUCGGGAUUGGGAAGUGCUUGGGAGCAGCUGCAGCGUGGAUGGGCCGUGCCCUUGGAGAAGGCUGAGGACAUCAUUUGGGACCAGCUUUUCUCCCAGCGGAGGAUGGCAUGAGCCGGGCUCUGCGGGUGCUGAGGCUGCUCUGGGCUCUGCCAGGGCUCUGCUGGGCUCUGCCCUGGGCACAGCUGGGCUGGCUCUGCCCUCACAUUGCUCUGACAGCUUUGCAUCAGACGAGCCCGUUUGAGCACAGUGCCUGAGCUUUCUCCUUUGGCAGAAGUGCCAUGAGUGGCCAAAGCUGGCAAGUGAGCUGUGUUCCUGAGGCAGUGCAGUCUGGAGCUGAUGGAUGGAGAGUUGCCCUUCCCACUUCCAAACCAGAGCAAAAGGCCGUAAGUGGGAUUUUUCAUCUGUAAGAAACCCGUGACAAUUUCAGAGGGAAUGUGCAGCUCAUUCACAGAGUGAGAAGGAAGGUCAUCUUCUAAAGGAUUUGGGGUUUGACAGAGUUUAGAUUCCCAG
rnacentral:lncRNA from 1 species